CUCUAGGGAUAUCUGAAAAAAAAUAAACAGAAAAAACUUCAUUAGAAAUACCAGGAUCGUUGAGGAAAAACCUCAGAAAGAAGUAUUUGAGGGAUCAGGGAUGAAAUUCUGAAGGAAUUCUUGAAAAAGUCGCAGAAUGAUCUUCGGUGAUUACUCCUGGGGGUUGUUCUGAGGCUCCUCCAGUAAUUCAUUGUGAUUUUUUUCAGGAAUUGCUUGUGGUAUUCCUUCAGAUCAUAGCUUCCCAAACUUUGUUUAGCGACUCCCCAACCACUCGCAGACACGUUUUGAUUGUCCUACAAAAAGCGAGGUGAGGACAGAAUGGGUAAGCACCAAGAUCAGGAAGAAUGCUGAAAUACACUACUAGAAGAAUUCUAGACGGAUAUCUAAGUGUGGAGAAAUUACCCUGAAUAAACUCCCUGAAGGACUUCUUAAGAAUUAGUGUGGUGAUUUGGAGGAACGACCUUUUGAAGACGUAACAGAAGAAAUAUCUGGAAGUAGAUUUUUAAGAAGUUUCUAAAUAUAAUUCCAGAAACAAUUCCAGGAAAAACACAGAAAGAAGUCCACUUUAAAUCCCUGACAAAGCUCCUUGAGGAGUUUCAGACAGAUCGUCUGCAGGGCUCCUAAGAAAGCGAAAUCUAUGGUUAAGAUGGGCGCUACAAAAAAGAUAGUUAAAUUUUGAAAAUCCUACAUAGUUUACUGUCAUCAAAACAGAGCGUUAAUGAUUAAUCAUAAAUUUAAUCAUGAUUAAUGAUUAAUGAUUAAGAUUAAUCAAAAAUCAUCAAUCAUAAUCACAAAAAUUUCUCAUUUAAUCAUUAAUCAUUAAUCUUAAUCACACUUAUUUCGCAAUUUAAUCAUUAAUCUGUAAUCAUAAUCAUAAGAAAAAAUGUUAAUCAAUCAUUAAUCAUUCAUCACCAAAAAAUGAUUCAUCACAUAAAAUAUAUUAUUCAAUUAAAAUUGGUGCAAAUGCUGUUCUAAAUAUUAUAAUUUAUGAUUCUUCUUUCAAAAAUCUCCCAGACAGAGUUACCUUUAACUAUUGAAACUUCAAAAAUAUUUUAAACAACAAAUAUAUUUUAAUCACUUCUAGUUUUUUGUGAUGGAUUAAUCAUGAUUUUUAAUCAAUGAGUCAUUUUUAAUCAUUAAUCAUAAUCAAUAAUCACAGAUAAAACCAAAUUUAAUCAUUAAUCAUAAUCUUUAAUCAUCCUUAAAAUCAAAUUAAUCAUUAAUCAUAAUCAAUAAUCACCGAAAUAAAAAUUUUAAUCAUCAAUGAUUAAUCAUGAUUAAAUUUUUUGUUAAUCAUGAACGCUCUGCAUCAAAACUUUAAGGCGCAAAUAACCAUCAUUCAGUCAUCAGCAAUCAUCAAUUAUUCAAAAGCAGUUUUCUUCCUCUAAGUCACAAAACCGUCAUUGAAAAUUAUUUCACCGUUAUCCAGAUGGUGGCCAGAGUGCAGUGAUAAAUUUUUAUUAACAUUGAUUGAGAUUUCAGCGAGAAAACUGCUUUUGACUUUUUGCUAAACGAUGACGUUUUGUUUCCUCUUAAAAGGUAGUUAAUGUCCUUAGUUACGUCCCUCUUGCACGAAACCAACGAUAUAUUUCGACUUUACACGAGGAUCCAGCCAAGUAUGUUCCCAACGCUCAUUUAAACGCUUGGGUGUCUUUUCCCAGAAUUUGUGGUAACCCUAACCAAAAGAAACAUUUGCUUCCCCUGGAAAAGUUUCCCGAAAGGGAGAUCCCAUCCAAGUGUAUACAUAACCGUAAUUACACAUCCUUCAUAAUUAAAUUAGUGCGGAGAGAAAUGUAGAGAGACAGUACAAAUAUAUCAAGCACACAUAUGCUGUGCUGCUGCUACACCGACCGGGCGGUGGGGCACGAACCCGACUCGCAAGCUGCAAACAUUAGAUAAUGACGACGACGACGACGACGACUAUGUUGGAUGUUGCUUGUACCAACCAGCUGAUGAGCUGGUAGGCAGGCAUCCACCAAGCAACUCCCUUGCUGGGUCCAAAGCCUGAUGGGAGGAAGCCGUUCGUGCGAAAAGCGACAUCUUCUGCUUUUAAUAGACAUCCUUCCGACGACGAUGACGACGACAGCGCGCCAUACACGAGAGGCGGGACUAGGACGGACGUUCCGUGUGGUGCGCACUCACAAUGUGUUGGGGCAAUAGUGUCAGGAAGAUAAACAACAACGUUAUGAAUUCACCAGCAGCGGAUAUUUAUGUGGAUGGGGAACGGGGGGUUAAAUGCGGCCGUGGACUUCAUGGGGUAAUUUGGCACACACACAGCUAGAAAAAAAAAACAACGAUUUCAAGCGGUAAACAUUUUCACCGAAAAAAAAACAGCAAAACAUAUUAAAUUCCACUAAUUUUUGUUAAGUUUGACAGAUGAACGAUAACAUUUCACAAAUUCUACCGAACGCUCAACGAGUGAGAUUUUCGUAUAUCAUUACCAAAGUUCGUGAUUUUUUAUAGCUGUGAAGUUCUGAAACUGUUGCAAAAGUUUAAAUUGUUCCAAACACUGAACGUUCUGUGAAAAGAUGUAACUUUGACCAAGUUUCCCCUAAAGGCCUGACAUGACGGUUUGGUACAAACACUCGACGGCCCUCUAAUGGGGUGCACACUAGGCACUGUCUGUGUCAACUUAGUUGAUGAUAAUAGUUGCACCCCUCAUCUGUCCCUCUUCCUGUAUAUUCCCAUUUUGAUAUACCAUACCGGAUGGGGAUUCAGUUGGAUCAUUUACAUUUCCCACCUCUGGUGCCACCACCACCAGCACCCCAACCACUAUCGUCGUCAUUACCAACCCUCCUCUUUAUUGUGCUCCUCAUUCGCGGAAGUGUAAACAAACGGGACUCAUCUUUCAUAUUACACAGAAUGGGUAAAUAUGCGGCGAGUGUGCCGCAUUCUGUCGGCUGAAGUGCGCCCCGGUAUAAUUAAAAUAGUACAUACACUAGCGCAAGGUCCCCACCGGCCACCCGCCCCGGCUUCACAUGCCAUUUGGAUUCAGACUACCAAAGACCUCUGCGAUACGGUUCUUGAUUGGAUCACAGUAAUUUUUCCAAUACGCUGGUAUUAUCAAGCAAGACUCGAGUGAGCAUGAACAUGAUGAUCGUACAAUUCGUAUUUGCUGCCUCGUGGUUGGUUACGAUCAUCGGGUUUACUUACCGUACCUUACCUUACUUACCGAUCAGGCUAAGGCCUGGGUGGCCUCUGCUGUACAUAGUAGCCGUCUCCAUUCCACUCGGUCCAUGGCUGUUUGUCUUCAGUUCCGCAGUCUGCGUAGGGUCCGCAGAUCGUCCUCCACUUGAUCGACCACCUAGUUCGCUGCGCACCACGUCUUAUUGUACCGUUGGGAUGACUCUCGAGAACCAUUUUAGUCGGGUUGCUAUCCGACAUCCUGAUGACGUGACCCGUCCACCGUAGCCUCCCGAUUUUAGCGGUAUGGACGAUGGUUGGUUCUCUCAGCAGCUGAUGCAGCUCGUGGUUCAUUCGCCUUCUCCAAGUCCCGUCUUCCAUCUGCAUUCCGCCGUAGAUGGUACGCAACACCUUCCGUUCGAAAACUCCAAGGGCGCGUUGGUCCUCUGCACGUAGGGUCCAUGUUUCGUGCCCAUAGAGGACUACCGGUCUAAUCAGCGGUGUAUAGUGCAUGUCUUUGAUAAUUACCAUAGUGUCUCAGUGUCCCAAAAUUGUAGAACUAAUGUAUAAAAUUGUAAGUCAAAUUCCAUAAGAGCUAUUUCUGAAUUUUAUAAUUAAUGUAAUUGAUAGGUAUACAAGAAGCUCCCUCCCAAAAAUCCGGCAAUACUUUAUGUACGAGGAACGGUUGUCAGCGUAGGAAAAUUAUUUGUUAUAUGUAGUGUGAUUAGUCUUUUUUUUUUAAUUUGUCCUAUCUUUGUAGUUACCCCUCAAAAAAGGCUUGAUAAAAAGCCGAAACGUCGGGAAAAGCAAAACUUGCCGUUUUGAUUUACCCAAGACUGAGAAAGCCAGCAUUCUGAAAGUUUUGUAGAUAGUUAACUUCGUGUUACGGCGAACUUUUUUCGAUCGUAGAGUUCUGCGGAGUCCAAAGUAAGAACGAUUUCAUGCCACAAUGCGCCUCUGAAUUUCACUGCUGGUGUCGUUGUCGGCGGUCACCAGUGAGCCCAAGUACACGAAUUCUUCAACCGCCUUGAUUCCAUCACCGUCGAUAGAAAUUCGGGAUGGCAGGCGCGGUAAUUCCUCCCUGGAGCCCUUUGCCAUCAUGUACUUUGUCUUCGACACAUUAAUGACUAGUCCGAUUCGCCUGGCUUCACUCUUUAGUCGGAUGUACGUUUCCGCCAUCGUCUACGAGCAAUAAUAUCAAUAUCAUCAGCGAAACUAAGCAGCUGAACGCACUUCGUGAAAAUCGUUACACUCGUGUUUAUCCCCGCUCUCCUAAUUACACCCUCUAAAGCAAUGUUGAACAGCAAGAAGGAAAGACCAUCACCAUGCCGUAACCCUCUGCGAGAUUCGAAGGGACUCGAGACUGUCGCUGAUACUCAAACUACGCACACCACUCGAUCCAUCGUCGCCUUGAUAAUCGUGUCAGUAUAUCCGGGAGUUCGUAUUCGUGCAUAAUCUGCCAUAGCUGAUUUCGAUCGAUUCGUUCAUACGCCGAUUUAAAAUCGAUGAACUAGUGAUGUGUGGGUACAUUGUAUUCGCGGCAUUUCUGCGACACCUGACGGAUGGCGAACAUCUGAUCUAUUGUAGCGCGAUCAUCCAUGAAUCUAUCCUGGUAUUGCCCCACGAACUCUCUUGCAAUAGAUGAUAGACGGCGGUAUAAAAUUUAAGAGAGUACCUUGUAGCGCGGUCAUCUCUAUCCGCUUCCAAAAACUCAUAGAGCAGUCAUCCCGAUCCGCUUCCAAUAAAUCAUAGCGCGGUCAUCCCGAUCCAAUUUCGACAACUCAUUACGCUUUCAUUCCAAUCCGCUUUCAAUAACUCAAAGGUAGUGUGAUCAUCCCGAUCCGCUUCCAAUAACUCAAACCACGGUAUCCAGAUCCGCUUCUAAUAACUCAAAGUGAGGUCAUCCCGAUCCGCUUCCUAAAACUCAUUGCGUUGCCAUCCCGAUAAUCUUCCAAAAACUCAUUGCGCGGUCAUGUCGAUGCAAUUUCGACAACUCAUCGCGCUUUUAUCCCGAUCCGCUUCCAAUAAGCGUGGUCAUCCCGAUCCGCUUUCAACAACUCAAAGCACGGUCAUCCCGAUCCACUUCCAAAAACUGAUUGCGCUGUGUUCCCGAUCCGCUUCCAAUAAAUCAUAGCGCGGUCAACCCGUUCCAAUUUCGAUAACUCAUUGCGUUGUCAUCUUGAUCCGCUUCCAAUAACUCAUAGAGCGGUCAUCCCGAUUCGCUCCCAAUAACUCAAAGUGAGAUCAUCCCGAUCCGCUUCCAAUAACCCAUAGAGCGGUAAUCCCGAUCCGCUUCCAAUAACUCAAAGUGCGGCCAUCCCGAUCCGCUUCCAAUAACUCAAAGUGCGGUCAUCCCGAUCCGCUUCCAAAAACUGAUUGCGCUGUCAUCCCGAUCUGCUUCCAGUAAUUCAUAGCGCGGUCAUCCCGAUCCAGUUUCGACAACUUAUUGCGCUUUCAUAUCGAUCCGCUUCCAAUAACUCAUAGCGUGGUCAUCCCGAUUCGCUUUGACAACUCAAUGCACGGUCAUCCCGAUCCGCUACCAAUAUCUCAUAGCGCGGUCAUCCCGAUCGGCUUCCAAUAAACCAUAACGGGAUCACCCCGAUCCGCAUCUAAUAACUCAUAGCGCGGUCAUCCCGAACCGCCUCGUUCAGUUCCAUUUCUUUUGAAUUCCUCGGUAACCGAAACGGCACAAUGUUAAACCCAAAUGGAACACAUACUGCAGCAGUGCGAACGGUAAUUUCGUUCUUUCCACGACUGUUGGCCUCUGGAGUUCAUUCCGGAUGCUCUGCAUGCAUUUCGUAUGUUGAACAGCAUCCGCUUAUAGAACCGGCGGAAGCAGUGGAAACAAAAUAAAAAUGCUCAGACUGCAAGCAGUUGAAUUUCAAAACAGAUGAUAAAAUGUUAGGUCUAAAAGCAUUUGCUAGGGUGCGUGUAACUUUUGUCAUAAGAAUCAUAAGAGCGGCGAGUCAUUUAGAUAUAGGUCCGGGAAAAGUGAGCUCAAAACAGACAUUUGGUUGUUUGUUAGUAAAUAUAAACACUAGUGGUAUUCAUGGCCCAAAUACCCUUAAGAGUAGUACAAACAAAAUCAUCUACGAAUUUUACAUUAAUUUUUAUACACGUCAAAGAAUUAAAUAACAACCAACGGAAAACCACAUAUUCCGUACUGGAACAAUCCGACAAAAAGCUGUGUUUUACCUGCCUGUCGGGCUACCUGAUGAUAGCCAAUCGAAAUGUGAAUGCGGAAUCCAAUCAAUCGAUUCUGGUGCGGUAGGUAUGUAGUUUUUUUUUCUUUUUCUACUUUGAUUUAAAUUACUGGUUGACUUUUUUCCAAUUCGGUAACCAUUAACGCCGGAAUACCGGGAAACUAACAGGACAGGACUAUUGAACGAGAGAAACAAAAAAAAAAUCGAGAGCAAAUCACGGCGGUAAGGAUUGACGCUCCGGUGAACUGUAAUGGGAAAUUGAUUUUUCUGUUCAGCACAGCAGCUGGAAAUUGUUCAUCGAACGAUUAAAAGGGUGUUUUUAGUUGUUUUCAGUAAUGCAUAAGGUAUUAGACUGGGACACAGUUAUAUGACAAAAAAGCAAUUUCGCUCCAGUUGACUAUUUGGGUUCCAUUAUCCAUUUUCAACCGUUGAAAAUUUUCAGCUUGAUCGGACAAACUAUGUUUUUGCGACAGUCUUUCAUCCCAUUUAUUCUAAGUUACAUCGAAAUUUAAUUUUUAUAUUUAGUACCAUGCGAAAUGAACGGUUUCGCUUCAUUAAAUUCUUUUUCCCGGAAAUCAUUUUUGAUUGUUAUUGUUGUUCUAUAUACUAGACCUAAACUUUCUCCUCCGGACUACCCCGUGAGCCUAAGCAACAUUUUGAUGACCAAUUAGUCUUGUAGAAGUUUUGAAACCCGUCAUCAAAUCGAAUACCCUUCUAAUCUAUUUUCCGAUAAAAUGUUACUUGGGAGAUCAUCCUUAUAAUGUUGCGAACAAGUCCAAUAUAGUAACUUUUUUUUAUCAAGAGACCCAUCACUGCAGUUACGACUAUAUGAUACUGAACAUGACCAUACUUUUUCAAAAUAAAACGAACUUAGAAUAUGCGAUGACAUGCUAAUUCUCGACAUCCACCCUCUGCAUUGAAUUUAAAAUUCUACUUAUCAAACUUUCGCUGAAGUGUUAUGAAACAUUACAAUACACCGACAUACCGGCAUACGAAUAAUGAAAAAGACGUCACAGCAAAGCUCCCUCCUCGAGCAUUAUUUUUACGGUUUUAUCGCCCUACUCAAAAAGUAUUCCCAUUCGCAGUUUUACGGUGGGGAAACAACAAGGCAUUCAACUUUUUGGCGAGCAAGUGUUUGACAAAUUUACGUUCGAAAUAUAGCUUAUUGCCUUUGUACAUCAGCCUCCGCCGCCAGUUAUUACUUUUAUCGACCGUUUCUUCGCUGCGCUAUGAAGAGGAUGCAUGCGGAUGGCGUCUCUGAAUAUGUCGUUAACCAAAAUGGUGCUCGUUAAAACAAAGCCGUUAUCAAUUAUACGCAAUGCCGUAAAAUUCACACAACAGACGGUAGUUAACAGCAUUUUUCCUUGUGAUCGAAUUGUUAAUCACAGCUCUCCGGUCGCGUCGCUACCACCCUCCGGAUCAAUUUCAUUCUGGGAAGACUGGAUAUGCGUUUCAAUAACCGGCACGCACGAAAUUGCUCGCCGUUAUCGAUACAAUCUCAUUCUGGGAGAGCCAAGAAAGCACCACACAUAUUGGAUCCCGAGGGAAAAGGAAAUUUAAUUUCGCUGCUGCCGUUACAGUGAAACAAAAAAAAAACGUAAUUUCCAUCACUAUUCCCUACGCGAAAGUAGAACUUACAACCAUCAGCCCCAUAGCUAUCAUCGUUUUUUUUUUUUUUUUUUGCCUCCAUUGAACAAGGGCGGAUAAUGUGCUUAUAACGGACACUAGGAGUAAAAUGUACAUAGCGAACCAACUGGGACAGAAUAGCACGCCCCUUCAUAGAAAGCCUUAAUCGAAGUUUAAUUUUUUUAUCAGAAAAGAACACUAACUUUUUAGUGUUCUCGCUGGAGUCAUAGUUAUACGUAAGCGAAACGUAGUGUGUAUCAUCAGUGAUCAUGCAGAAGCUGGGGGCCUGGUGACCUCGCAACUGGAACUAAGCUCCAUGGCCAAUGCCAUCGUCGGAAUCAAAACAAAAAUCAAGAAAACGUAAAAAACGGAACCAGUUACAAUGAGUCAAUUGAAAUGUGUGAGUGAUUUCUAAAAAAAAAAUCGUUUUGCAGAAAUACCGGAAAAAAUAGAUACUGUACAAAACUGUGAAAAAUUUUAAGAAUAAAUAUUCUUUAGCUUCAUUUGGGAAACUUUGCGAUAAAACAGUUUGAAAGCAUAAACAACUUUCUGACAAUUUUUUGGCGAAACUCUUAAAAAAGUCAUUGCAAAAACUCACACAUAAUGAAAACUUAACAACGAAAACACAAAAUGAGAUGAACAAUAUUUUGGCAAAAAAUAUUAAACAACAUGACCUAGACAAAUUUGUGUUGAAAUUUCAAAAAAAAAAUCUGAUGGAGCUCUUAGAAGUCAUUUAACGCUAGUAGGUUGUUGACCCAGACAAGAUGUGCACUACGCCAUCGUGGUGCGACAAACGGAACAUUUUAGAAGGGUUAAUCUGAUAGUAUGUUGGAACUUUCUUGUGGUGAAAUUUUCAAAGCAGUGUUUCAUCGUAUACUAAAUUCUUUUUACACGAUUUUUUACGCGGUUUUCUCAGAGUUACGUUAUGUGCUAUUAGAAAGAUUCUUCUCUACUGGCUUCAAUUUCUUUCCGCUAGAAAUUUUUGGAUUCCGGUAGGAAUUAUUCUAGAACUAUUCUGAUUUUUUUUAAAUCUUUCUCAGAAUUUUAAUUGGACUGUUAAGUUAACUGAAAUCGGAAAUUCACCAGCAAGUCUAAAACAAUGCUACCGGAGUCAACAUAUUUUUUUUUAUUCUUAGGGCCGAUUUCUUCACCCGGGCUUAAAUUUUAAACCAGGCUUAGCAAAAUUUUAAGCCGGGCUUAACUUUUUUUCCAUUUCUUCACCUCGGCUUAACCACUAAACCCGGUUUAAUAAAGCUACGGUUUACGUUAAGUGUGGCUUAUUUUAAGCGGUGCUCUGAGGUGGCUUAGCAGCGCUGAGCCAGGCUUAAGCCGAAAAUUGCAGAGUUUGGGUUUCUUUACCUGUUUCAGGGAUAAAUUUUUGAAACAGCAGAAAAUAUUUUUAAUAAAACAUGUACACUUAAGAACCAUACAAUUGUAAAACGUUUGGAUACGGAUGGAGACGAUGAUAAAGAAAAUGAUAAUCUACAACCGGCGCGUCGUCAAUAUAAAAUAUUCAACAUCGGAUUUUGGGACAAUCAAGUUUUUACAUCAGAUUGAACGUCUUCAAAAAGGCACCGUGUUGAUAGUUUUGGAAAUUUUCAUCCUGAUAUGGAAGUCAAAAGUACAUUUGCAUUGAAGUUUCUAUUUAUUUUAAUCCGGUCCUUCCAUAACUUCAGAUCACAAUUAAUAUAUUUUUGUUUCUUACUUAUGGUUCAAGAGAUAUAAUUUUUUU